AUCAUUACCGAGUGCGGGCCCUCUGGGUCCAACCUCCCAUCCGUGUCUAUCUGUACCCUGUUGCUUCGGCGUGGCCACGGCCCGCCGGAGACUAACAUUUGAACGCUGUCUGAAGUUUGCAGUCUGAGUUUUUAGUUAAACAAUCGUUAAAACUUUCAACAACGGAUCUCUUGGUUCCGGCAUCGAUGAAGAACGCAGCGAAAUGCGAUAAUUAAUGUGAAUUGCAGAAUUCAGUGAAUCAUCGAGUCUUUGAACGCACAUUGCGCCCCCUGGUAUUCCGGGGGGCAUGCCUGUCCGAGCGUCAUUGCUGCCCUCAAGCACGGCUUGUGUGUUGGGCUUCCGUCCCUGGCAACGGGGACGGGCCCAAAAGGCAGUGGCGGCACCAUGUCUGGUCCUCGAGCGUAUGGGGCUUUGUCACCCGCUCUGUAGGCCCGGCCGGCGCUUGCCGAUCAACCCAAAUUUUUAUCCAGGUUGACCUCGGAUCAGGUAGGGAUACCCGCUGAACUUAAGCAUAUCAAUAAGCGGAGG
rnacentral:rRNA from 1 species